rnacentral:lncRNA from 1 species
GAGUCAUUUUUGGUGUUGUAGUCUUCAGCUUUGCUAAUAUGCAAAAUGGCCAAGUUUUCUCUUCAAUUUUCUACCUAAUAAGUCCAUUUAAGACUCAGAUCUACAUUGGUAAUGGCUGGAAUUUAUAUUUUCAGAUAUGGAGAAACUAGCCACCGUGCGUUCCUUUGUCACAGCAUCCCCAGGUGUAACCUGAAACCCACAUCACAUCUAAGGCAGCCAAAUUGCAAGGCAGCCUGCCACUUCUUCCAUCUUAAAACCAUGACCGACGCUUUGCCCCCAACCCACUUUGAUUAACAUCCAAUCUGAUGCCAAAAGCUUGCACUCAGCUUUGUGGCCUUUUGGCUUUGCCCGACUGUGGAUUUCGGAAUUCGUAUAUUCCAGUAACGGUUUUCAGCUAAACGUGCACUAAAUAAAUCCCAGCCUUCAAUAUACAGAAGAGGACUUCAUUUCCUACACUUCACCCAAGAGCCCUUCAAAGUUGAAAAACCAACCCUAGUAAAAUGGAUCCCAACUGCACUGGAAGAUGCCUUAUUAGCCUGGUAUGGGCUAGUUUAUUUAUCAGAGUAUUCCCUUUGGCAAGCCUUCUGCUAAUGAUAUCACCAGUGGAGAGCUGGUGCUGAGUGAAUGCUGGCACUGGAAGCAGCUUUUCUUUAAAUUGAGAUUAAUAGCAACCCUAGAUCUGCACAUGUUUCCAGGUACCUGAAAGCAGAGUCUUUGUUAUGAACAUUUGUAAUUUAGUUAUGGCACGGUGUGUGUUUUCCUUGGGUUUUAUAGCAUCCUAUGAGGUUGCCCUCGACUGUAGCAAAAUAUCAUCCAUAAUCAAGCUAAACAAACAGAAAGGAAAGAAGCAAAUGACAGCCCUGGGUGUACAUUCUGCAGUUGAGAAGAAUUAACUCUACAUCUGGGUCAACACUUGUGGAACUGCAGACAGAGAAACCAUUAAUAACAUCUAGCAUUUAUAUAGCACUUUUUGAAAAGGGUCUGAAGUCCUUCAUGUACAAUACAGGAGUAACCCUUAGAAACAACUUCAUAAGGUACAUCAUGGGUAGGCAGAAAUCAGACCCUCCAAGUGUCUGUAUUUUCCAGGAAUGUCCCAGAUUUAGAGAAGCUGCCCCACUUUCAAAUUUGAUCCUGGAAUGUCCCACUUUUCCUCAGGAUGUCCCUAUUUUCAUUGGAGAGAUGUUGGAGGGUAUGGAGUUAUCUGACCACCAAACUGUCUGAAGGCAAACUUCCUGUAUGUUUUAUUAUGUUUUUAUACAUGUUGGAAGCUGCCCAGAGUGACUGGGGCACCCCAGUAAGACGUUUGGGGUAUAAAUAAUAAAAUUCUCAUUGUGGAAUGGGAUGCUUCUAAUUUCAUCAGAGAAACGUUGGUGGGCAUGAGACGUCACACAUGUGAUUUACUUUGUUUUUCAGCAGAACCCCAACAUCUAUCAACCAGAGCUAGCUGCAGAAGACAUACAGGGCUGGCCCAAGACAUUUUGGCACUUGAAGCAAACCACAAAAUGGUGUCUCCCCCAGCCAGGGAAGAGCGGGUGAGUGAAGAUCUACAUCGGGAACAAGGAUGGCAGACCAGCAGUGCUGUCUAUUUGCCAAGAGGCCGCUGUAGAUUAAACAUGGGAGAUCUGGCCUCCAGAGAUCUCGCCACAGCUGUUGCUGCCACUGUUGAUCCAGCCACCUUUGAUCCAGCCUGUUGAUCCAGCCACCACUGUUGAUCCAGCCACUGUUGAUCCUCACCUUCCCUCAUGGGUGGGCUGGCCCUGGUUAUAAUUAAAGAACAGGAUGCCUCUGCACAUAUCAGCCUCAGAAUUCAUUUUCAGUACCAGAAAUGAACUGAGCUCAAAGUCACUUUGCAUUAAGUCCACUCCUGGUCCUGCUUAGCAUUCUUCAUUUCAGCUAGGUGGAAUAAAUAAUCUAGGUGGAAUAAAUAGCUUUGCUUGAGCUAUUGUUGAAGCACCGGGAGUCGGAAAUCCUCUCCAAUCCACUGCAAAUCAUCAAGAGCUCUCCCAGCAGAUCUCAAUCUACCAAAUUGGGUGAAUAUGUCAGAUUUAGUUUCUCAUUUCCGCCCACAGGGCUGAGAAAGUGGCUUGUCUAUGUUCAUUUAGCAGGUUCAUGGCUGAAGUGAACUAGAUUUGAACUGCAGGCUUCCUAGCUUGCAGAUUGCACCCAUAGG